UACGUAGGGGGCAAGCGUUGUCCGGAAUUAUUGGGCGUAAAGCGCGCGCAGGCGGCUAUUUAAGUCUGGUGUUUAAACCUUGGGCUCAACCUGGGGGUCGCACUGGAAACUGGGUGGCUUGAGUACAGAAGAGGAAAGUGGAAUUCCACGUGUAGCGGUGAAAUGCGUAGAUAUGUGGAGGAACACCAGUGGCGAAGGCGACUUUCUGGGCUGUAACUGACGCUGAGGCGCGAAAGCGUGGGGAGCAAACAGGG
rnacentral:rRNA from 1 species